CAAAAAGAUUUUUUUGCACCGAUCGGCUUGCCUCUAAAAUAGCAGAAGGUAAGAAAAAUG
rnacentral:sRNA from 1 species